GGAUGAUGAGGCAUGGUGUGCGUAUGGGUGUGAAAAUGUCGCAGGAAGAUAGAUAGAUCAAUAGAAGUUUGGGCUGAAACUUUUUGUUAAUUCCAAAGACAAAAUUGAAGUUGGAUGGGAGAAUCUGAUUCCUUGUUAUUGGGGUCAAUAAUGGAUAUUAUUGGAGGUGAAGAGAGGAUUAGGCAGUAGUGAGUAUUGGAGGUAAUGGAGAAUGGUUUUGGUUAUGUCGUGAGGGAGAAAAAUCGUUUCUAUUCUUGAGUGAGGGAGGAAUUAGGAAUCAAGAGGAAAUGUCCUUGGGGUGGCUACGGGUGUAGUAUGUGUGUGGUGUGAGUGUUUCAGUGACAGAGGAGAUAGUGAGUGAAUGAUGGUUCGCCUUGUGCUGAUAGUGUGAUCAGAAUUGUUGAAGCGUGGUGUAGGUGUUGAACCAAAAAGGAUGGAGUGUGUGAUGGCUCUGUUUUCGGUUAUGGGUGAGGAGAGAGAGGUUUCGUAUUGUGUGUGUCAUGGUGAUCAGGUGUAGUGUGAAUGAUCAUUCCAGAUGAAGGCACCAAAUGCGUCAUGAUUGAAGAUGAAAGUUAAGAUCAUCCUGCUGAAGUUUCUUCCUGAUCAAAAAUCGUGCUAACCGUUUUCUGUUCCUUGACCCCCAUCGAGCACGCGCCCCCCACCUCUUCACACCUUCGUCACCUUAUUUCCCCCUUUUUUUUUUUCACGUUUUUAGUUUUGCCACGUUUUCAAAACUUUUUGCUUUUUUUCUCUUUUUUCUUUUUUCUUUUUCUUUCUUUUUUUCUUUUCUUUUUUUCUUCUUUGUUUUUUUGCUUUCUUUUUUUUUCAUUUUCUUUUUUUUUGUUUUCUUUUUUUUUCUUUUUUUCCAUUUUGAAUUAAAUCAAAUAGUAAAAAAAAAUUAAUAAAACAAAAAAUAAAACAAAAAUAACAAAUAAAAAUAAAAUAAAACAAAAAUAAAAAUAAGUCCUAUUAUUUAGUUACCCGGACGAAAUUGGGUGUUGACAACAGACAAUUAAACACAAUUCCCUGGUUUAUUUAAGUGCAAUAAACUAAAUACAGUUCAAGAAAUAACGACUCAUCAGAAAUUUAAAAAGGUUUCCACAAAAUGCAAUGUAGUGUCUUGAUCCAAAAGCCUCAAGAGACACUGUCAUCACUGGCAUCAUCCUCGUCAGAUUCAUCCUUCUCCUCAUCAUCAUUAACCUCAAUCUCAGCAUCAUCCUCUUCCU
rnacentral:lncRNA from 1 species